UACGGAGGGUGCUAGCGUUGUUCGGAAUCACUGGGCGUAAAGGGCGCGUAGGCGGCCCUGUAAGUCCGUUGUGAAAGUCGAAGGCUCAACCUUCGAAAGCCGAUGGAUACUGCAGGGCUAGAGUCCGGAAGAGGCGAGUGGAAUUCCUGGUGUAGCGGUGGAAUGCGCAGAUAUCAGGAGGAACACCAAUAGCGAAGGCAGCUCGCUGGGACGGUACUGACGCUAAGGCGCGAAAGCGUGGGGAGCGAACAGG
rnacentral:rRNA from 1 species